UGGUAUUGGCUAAUUAAUUUUAGACAAAAGGGGGAAAAACUUGCCCAUGUCUCUCUCUUCGUCGAUGUUUCUCACCGAAUCACUUUCUCUCUUGCUUGAUGGCUGCUACAUCCUCCUCCAAAUCCGUCCAUGAAAUCACCGUCAAGGUUUCUAUUGAGGGAGAAACAAAAUGUCAAGAUCACAUAACAGUUUAAGAAGGCAUAUUGGAGCUAUCAACGAUAAAACAAAUAGUUUCAUUAGCAAAAGUUAAUAGUGAUUACAAGAUUUCAUUAUGGUGCCCACUCUCUCUCAGAAACGGAUCAAACAUCAUCAAAGCAUCUCUCUUUCAUUUUAGUGCAAGAGUUUUUGCAGGUGGAGCCAAGACAAAAAGCAGACAAUAUGAGUAAACCGUACUUGGUGUGG